rnacentral:lncRNA from 1 species
GUCAUUAUUAUUUAAAUUUUUUUUCUGAGACGAUGGUCAAUGCAUUAAGGGAUAAAGCAGAUAUAAAAAGUAUCAUAAAUAGAAGGUGGGAGUAUUGUUCUACCAAUAAAAGACCAAAACGAACAAAAGUGGACAGAGUCAGUCCAGUUUCUCAACAAGGAGAAUGUGAUCUAAAGGACGAGGACACCGGCUUGUGUUGGAAUGAGGACGGUGGGAGUGUUACAUACAGAGCCAGGUUGUUCUGAGAAUUAUCUCAGAACUAGAGAAAAAGAAGAACUAGACCCAGCUCCCUGGAAAUGGAGCUGGCAGGAAUGAAGCCGGAAGCAGGUUCUAGCCACCUGGCUGGAUACCCACGGGGAACUGACACCCUAGCAAUGAGAGGAGGGAAACCUUGAGUUUUCAAGUGCUCUAGGUAGAAGAGAGUCAGGUAGGGGCCCAGACUUGCCAUGUUGUGUAUUUGUCACCAUGUUUUGGUGUACUGGAACUCUAGACACACUUAAUGCAGUCACACUUAGGUAAGAGCAGCAGGGCAGGAGAUUCUGUUAUGGUGCUGGGCUGGCGUAUCAUUGGUUCAGGGGUGGGAGAGGGAAAAGCCUAUUUCUAAAUGGAUACCCCUUGGACAAUGUAACUUGGUUGAGAAGAGUAUGGGACAGGCCCUGACAAUGUCCUCCAUAUGUAUCAAGGAUUGUGAAUGGCGUAUCAUAAAAUAAAUCAGUAUGUUUUAAAUACAUUCAUGAAAGACAUUCUGUUGAAGUUUGAGCUUUUGCCAUGGUAGCUUAUCCUUUGUUACUCAGUAGAUCUAGCCCUGUGAGUAGACUCAAGGGCCAGAAAUUCCAAAACUCAAAAGGCACUGGUCAGGGCCAGCCCUGGUGGCCUAGUGGUUAAGUUUGGCGUGCUCUGCUUUGGCGACCCGGGUUCAGUUCUCAGGCACAGACCUACACCACUCAUCUGUCAGUGCCCAUGUUGUGCGAGCAGCACACAAUCAAAAGGAGGAAGAUUGGCAGUGGAUGUGGAUGUUAGCUCAGGGCAAAUCUUCCUCAGCAAAAAAAAAAAAGCCACUGGUCAAAGGGUCCAUUUUCAGGUAAAAGCAAACAAUCAUAUUUCACCCUUUAUCUCCCGCUGAAUGAAGCUAUAAAACCUGGAAAGAAUGCAAGGAGCAGCUAUUUGAGGACUCUGAAAAGUAAAUAUUAGCCUAUGGCUUGGGACAGAAAACCAGAAUUUGAAAAACCACUCAACCGGCAGUGAAUUUACCAUGUUUCCCCCACUGGUAGCUCCUGACCUCAGCUUAAUGCACUGGAAGUGGGCAAUGGAGCACAGAAAGACAGAGCUCCAGAAGUCUUCUGGUGGCGACCUGAGGAGUGGGAAAGCAUACCUUCUAAGCUCAAGGAGAACGUGGAAACCUAGCCCGCUUUUUUUCUUUUCUUUGUUCUGCUGUGCCCAAACAAUCCUAUGGCAGCAAAACCAGCCAGUGGAGACAGGAGCCUGCAGCAGGCAAAACUUCGGAAGAAAAACCUUCCUCUCUGUUUGACAAAGAUAUCAAGAUAUUGGGCUAAUUCCUAUUGCUUUUUUUUCUCCCCCUGUCUUCCUGCCACUUGACCAUGGAUAGGGGCCUAGUUAUGAAAGUGCACAGCACACCAGGGUAAGUAAAGCCCUAACUUUCUGGCUGGAGGACUGAAGGAGAAGAUCUAUAGGGAAUCAGAAAGUAUUCGGCAUAUUACCAAGGGGGAGGAACUCAGGGAAAUGACACUAUACUGUUGUUUAUGAACUCUUGGGCCAACCCCCAAGCUCUCGUGUUUGGGCUUGAUCCUAUUUGGCAUACCAAAAUCUUUGAGAAAUGAGCUAACAGAUACAUGGCUGCCCAGGCACCCAAUUGGCUAUUGGGUGGUGCGUACUCUAGAUGGGUCCAUAGAGCCCCACAAAGGCUCUGAAAACUAAACUGAUUUGGAACCACAGCCAACAGAAAGUGGGCUGGAACUUUUUUCCUGAACCCAAUCAGGUAGGCUCCUUGCUAAAACAAAAUAUCAACAUUUUUCACAGGUUUUAAAUAAGACUCAAAAUCUCAUAACAUAAUAUUCAAGGUUUCCAGAAUAUAAUCCAACAUUACUCAGUUUACAAAGAAUCAGGAAAAUUUCAGCUGAGAAAGACAAUGACCCGAUUCUAAUGCUGAGAUGAUACAGAUAUUGAAAUUAUUUGACAAAGACUUUAAAGCAGCUAUUUAAAAGUGCCCCAGUAAGCAAUACAAACACUCUUGAGUGGAAAAAUAGACAAUCUCAUAAAAAAAAUCAUACCAAAAAGAAGCAGAUAGAAAUUUUAGAACUUAAAAACACAAUAACUGAAAUAAAAAAACUCAAUGGAUGGGAUUAAUAGCAGAAUAGAGAUGUCAGAGGAAAGACCCUGUGUAUGCGAUGACGGAGCAACAGAAAUUAUCCAGUCUGAACAACAGACAGAAAAAAAGAUAGAAAAUAAAAAGAGCAUAGACUCAGGAACCUACAGGAUAAUAGCAAAAGCUCUAACACUCAUGUCAUCAAAGUCUCAAAAGGAGGAGGGAAAGAGUGGUGCUGAAAAACCACUGAAAGGAAAAAAUGGCUAAAAAUUCUGAAAUUUGGCAAAAGACAUAAAGCUAUAGAUUUAAGAAAAUCGGCAAACUCUGAAUGGGAUAAGCCCAAGGAAAUCUAUUCCCAUUCACAUUAUAACUGAUAUAAAUAUAUUACAUACAAACUAAAGACAAAGAACACAUCUUGAAAAUAGACAAAGAAAAAUGGCUCAUUGCCUACAGAAGAACAAUGAUUCUGAAUAUGAAUUUCUCAUCAGAAACCAUGGAGGCCAGAAAGAAAUAAGAGUUUUCAAGUGCUGAAAGGAAAGAACUGUCAACCCAAAAUGGUACAUCUGGUAAAAAUAUCCUUCAGGAAUGAAGGUGAAAGACAUACAUUCCUAGAUUAGGAAAACGAAGAGCAUUCAUUGCCAGAAGACUUGAUAUGAAGGAAUCACUAAAGGAAGUUUUUCAGACAGAAGAAAAAUGAUGCCAUCAGGAUACUUGGAAUAUCGUGAAUCAAGGAAGAGCAACAGAAAUGAUAAAUAUCUGGGCAGAUACAAUAGACUAUUAUUUUCCUCUUGACUUCUUUAAAAUAUAUUGGGUGUUUGAAAGCAAAAAUUUUAACAAUGUCUGAUGGGGAUUGCAAUGUAUACAGAUGUAAUAUAUAAGACCACUAUAACAUAGAGGGAGAGGUAAAAGGGAUCCACAAAUUUGUAAGAUUUCUACAGCCCCAUCAAAGAGGUAAAAUACUGAUUCUAAGUAGGCUGUGAAAAGAUAAGUAUGUAUGUUGUAACCACUAGAACAACCAUUAAAAGCUAUGCAAAAAGAUAUAAUUUAAAAAACAAGUGAAUUAAAAUGGAAUACUAAGAAAUGUUGAGUAACUCAAAACAAGUCAGGAAAGGGAAAGCGGAGGAAGGAAAAACAGAGGGAACAAGAAAAAAACAAAUAAUUAAAUUGUAGGCCUAAGUCCAAAUAUAUCAAUAAUUUGAUAUACAUCAAAUUCAAUUGUCUAAAUACACCAGUUAAGAAACAGAGAUGGUCAGAAAGGAUUAAAACUUAUCUUGAACUAACUCUAUGCCACCUACAGGAAAUUCACUUUCUCUUUUUUGGUGAGGAGGAUUGACCCUGAGCUAACAUCUGUUGCCAAUCUUCCUCUUUUUGCUUGAGAAAGAUUGUCCCUGAGCUAACAUCUGUGCCAGUCUUCCUCUAUUUCUUGUAUGUGGGAUGCCGCCACAGCAUGGCUUGAUGAGUGGUAUUUAGGUCCAUGCCUGGGAUCUGAACCUGUGAACCCUGGGCCACCAAAGUGGAGCACUUGAACUUGACCACCAUGCCACCAGGCCAGUCCCCAGGAAACUCAUUUUAAAUAUAAUGCUAUAUCAUGCAAACAUCAUUUAGAAAGGAGCUGGAAUAGGUAUAUUUUACCAAAGUAAGCUUCAGAGGAAAGAAAAUUACCAGGGGUAAAGAGGAACACUAUAAACUGAUAAAAGGGUGAAUUCAUCUAAAAGACAAAAUACUUUUAAAUUUGUCUGCAUCUGCCAAUAGAGCUUCAAAGUACAUGAAACAAAAACUGAGAAGUAAAAGGAGAAAUAGAUAAUUAUUCCUCCCUGAUAGUAAACAGAAAGUCAGCAAGCACAUAAAAGAAUUGAACAAUACUAUCAACCACCUGUAUCCAAUUGACAUUUACAGAACACGCCACCCCAGAAUAGUAGAAUAUACAUUCUUUUCAAGUGUACGUGGAACAUUCACCAGGACUGACGAUACCCUCGGUCAUAAAACAAAUCUUAACAAAUUUAAAAUAGUUGAAAUCAUAGAAAUGGUUCUUUGACCACAAUGAACAAACUAGAAAUCGGUAACAGAAAGAUAACAGAAAAAUCUCCAAACACCUGGGAAUUAAACCACACCAUUUUCAUAAUUCAUGGGUCAAAGAGUAAGUCUCAAGGGAAAUAAGAAAGUGUUUUCAAAUGAAACAAAAGGAGAAUAUAGCACAUCUAAAUUUGUGAGGUGCUGCUAAAUUGGUGCUUAGUAGGAAUUUUUUGGCAUUAGCCACUUUUAUUAGAUGAAAGAUCUCAAAUCAAUAGCCUAAACUUCCUUAUGUGAAACCAGAAAAACAAGAACAAAAUGAACCUAAAGUAAGUUGAAGCAAAUAAUAAAGAUAAGAAGAGAGAUCAAUGAAAGUGAACAUACAAAAACUAGAGAACAAUCAAUGAAUCUAAAAGGUGAUUCUUUGAAACAAUCAAUAAAUUUAAUAAACCUCUAGCAGGAGUGAUAAGGAAAAAAAUGUGUGAAGUCUCAAACUACCAAUGUCAGGGAAAAAAGGAGGGGAAAACACUACACAUCCUGGAUACAGAAAAGGAUGAUAACUUUACUCACGUAAAUUCAACAGCUUAGAUGAAAUGGACCAAUGGCUCAAAAAAUACAAGCUGCCAAAACUGACUCAAAGUGAAAUAGAUAAUCUGGAUGGUUCUUCAAUUAUUUUAAAUAACUAAUUCUCUAAUUUAAUUUUAAAUUUAAAAAUUUCUGAAAAAGAAAUCUCCAGCCUCAAAUAGUUUUACUGGUAAAUUCUACCAAACAGGUGAAGAAUAAAUAACACCAGUUCUACCCAAUUUCUAAAGAAAUUAAGUGAAUAAUAAACAACCUUCCAAAAAAUAAAGCACCAGGCCUAGAGAAUUUCACUAGGUGAAUUUUACCAAAUAUUUAAGGAAGAGUUAAUUUUAAAUUGAGUUUAGGUCAAUUCUCCACAAUUUCUUCCAGAAAAUAGAAGAGAGAACACUUCCUAACUCAUUUUAUGAGGCCAGCAUUACCUUGAAAAUAAAACUAGACAAAGAUAGGACACAGAAAGCUAUAGACCAAUAUCUUCUAUAAACGUAGACACAAAAAUCCUCAAGAAAAUAUUAGCCAGUUGACUCCAAUAAAACAUAAAAAGAAUAGUACACUAAAACUAUGUGGGAAUGUAAGGCUGGUUCAGUAGUCAAAAAUCAGUGUAAUCACAGGCCACAUGUUCAUCUCAAUUGAUGCAGGAAAAGCAUUUGACCAAAUUCAAUAGCCAUUCUUAACAAAAACUUGGAAAUCUGGACUAGAAGGAAACUUCCUAAACUUCUAGUCAUAAUUCCAAAAAACGGAAAUGGAUGCCCUUCAAUGUGUGAAUGGAUAAACAAACUGCAUUACCUCCAUACAAUGGAAUAUCAGUAAGCCAUAGAAAGGAGUGAACUAAAAAAACCCACAAAACUAUUGAUACAUGCAACAACUUGGAUGUAUCUCAAAGACAUUGAGUGAAAGAAGCUGGUCUCAGAAGGUUGCAUACAUAUGAUUUUGUUUAUAUGAUAUUCUCAAAAUGACACAACUAUGGAGCAAUGGUUGCCAAAGAUUGGGGUCAGGGGAGAGUGUGAAUCUAAAAGGGUAGCAUGAGGGGAUUUGCAGGAGAGAUGGAACUGUUUUGUAUCCUGACUGUGGUGGUGGCUACACAAAUUUACUCACGUGUGAGAAUUCCUAGAACUGUACACCAAAAACAUUCAUUUCACUGUAUGAUAAUUUAAAAAGUAAAACUUGGACAGAGCAGGGAAAAGCCACUGGUUCAAAAAUGUAACAUUUUGAUUCUUGGAGAUGAUGCAUCUUAAGAUGAAGACUAGUCAGCGACCCUCAGUAUUCCUUCUUCCUUUUUCACUUUGAUCAUAGAACCCCACGAUUUAGCUGGGCACGUGGCUGCCAAGCUCACAUUCGAUUUUCCAGACUCUCAUUAGGUAGGUGUGGCCAUAUGAUUAACCUCAGGCCAAUGAGGUACGAGGAAGUAAUGUGGGAACUCCUGCAUUACUUAGUUAAAGGUAAGUUCCUUUCCCUCGACUUCAUUUCUUCUUCUCACUGGAUGGGAAGCAACAAGAAUAGUCAGCUACCUUGGAUGCAGAAAUGGAAGCUGCAAGUUGAGUUUGGCAAAUCGGCCUUACAGCUUGGGUCUGGAUGAUCGCCUGGAAUAUAGCCAUCUACGCACCCUGCAUUGCGCAGGAAGAGAAAUAAACUUCUUUCUUAUUUAAACCACUGUAUUAUGACGUCUCUUUAUUACAGCAGCUACCCCCUACCCCACCUUAUACGUUCCUAGCAUGAUCAACGGAUUCUUCAAUGGGUUGGUGCUUAUUAUAUUUUGCUCCAAAACUCAAUUACCAAGAUAGUUAAAAGACUAAAAGAUGGAGGGGAUCUGAGAGACAAUUUACUGCAAGCUAUUUGUUCUUUUGAGGCCAGGCUUGAGGACUGAAAAACAUGAUCUGGUGGCAAUAUCCCAUUUUAAGAACCUGGAAACAAAGAAAUGUAAGGACCGUCACUUAGUAUUGGUGAGAUUCAUGCUGAAUCUGACCCUCGUCAGCACUCGCCUUUUUUUCAUCUCUGCUAGCUCUGAUCUACCCUAUAUUUCACCAUUUUGAUGUCCUGCUCCCUCCAGCCCCUCUACAUUAUUUGUUUACAUAGUUGGUCCUUCAUCUUUUCUUCUAUCUCUUCCACUUUUCUUUGAUUCUUCUCUUGUGAUAUGGCAUUUGUGUGGACUGUCCUUAUAUUUAUUAACUUCUUGGCUUGAUCUUGAGAAUCUUUUAAUCAGAAACUACAAAUACCAUUUCUGGUGCCCAGCCCCAUCCUGAAGCUAUCCAGGAGCUCACCAAGAGUUGCCUCAUUAGAACAAAAGAUGCUCCUAUCACCCAGGAAGUUCCAAAGGAUUUGGGGGCUUUGUGUAAGAUGCCCCUAUCACUCCCACCUCUCAGGAAAUUGUAAGAGUUUUUGGAGCUCUGUGUCAGAAACUGGGGGGCAGAGACCAAACAUAUAUUUCUUAUUAUGUCACACUCUCAAGUCUUUUAUUUUGCAUGAGGAUGCAUGUCAGAAAGACUAAGUGGCUUAUCAAAGGUUACAGGGUCAAUAUGUAGCAAAGCCAGCACUAGAACUCAAGUAUUCUUAUAGGACAAUGAUUUUUCUGCUCUGUGAUUUUGACUUCCAGGUAUGUCCUUACCAGGUUUAUUUCUGUUUCAGAUUCUCAUACUACAUUGAUUAAUAAUUCACAACUAACUUUAUAACAAAAAAAAAAAAAAUACCUACCUUUAACAGUAUAGUUCCUAUUCAGGUCCUUGCUGGCUUUUGGUAUUCCAAGUUGUUAACUAUUGGCACUGUGUUCUUCUUUUCAUUCACUCCAAAUUUUAGCUAUUCACAAUAUGCCUUUCAAGAAAAAUCUGCCUACCUUGAAUUGUGGUCCAUCCACUCCACCCCACGUUCAAAUAUCAGAUGGCUCACGUGGCAUUUUGAACUGGAAGCAUCAUCGUUGACGUGAAAUAUCUGCUAAGUUCUAGUCAGUAGUGAAAAUGAGCAUAAUGCAAAUAUUUGAAUAGCACAGAACUCAUGCCCAUUUAAUCAGUGUUCUCCAAAGUAAAUUUCUCUGCCUUUGUAGCUUCUUGGUGGUAUGAAACUAAAAAAUAACCAAAUGAGUUAGCACUUUCUUCCUGCCACUGGGUACUGGUGACUGGGGAAACAAACUUUUCCAGCUCUAGCUAAAGUGCAUGUUUAUGGUGAUGAUGUAAAAUAAUGGAAGUGUAUCAGGAGAGCUGGAUUCAGUUCUCAUCCCCUGGCGAUACGAUUGAGGGCAAAUCACUUCAACCUUGUGUGAGUCUGUUUCUUUAACUGUAAAAUAUGAGGUGCUCAGUUCAAUGAAGAGGUAAAGAGAAUGGCUGCAUCAGUCAAGGUCCCAACAAGAAGAGGAAUCUAAGUCAGAUGUCUCAAGGGACUAUAAUUAAGGGACUAUUUACAGCAUCAUGGUUAAGUCAGGGCAACCAAGAAUGGAGGGACUCAGAGGAUAACUUAGCAGGAAGACUUUUCCACAUUAGACCUAAAGGAGAAGAGGCAGGACAUAGUGUUACCAGAGCCCAGUGAGAGCUGGGGCUACGGUAGGAGCCAGCCAGGAGGAACAGGUAAUACAGACUGGGAAGGAAGAUGCUCCCUGUUGACUACAAAUUCUACCAGGAAAGCAGCAUCAUUUAUAGCUUGCAAGUUUACAGUUUUUACUGCAGCCUGUAGGACAGCACCCCAACCUCACAGGAUACUGUCAUCCUGCUGGCACCUUAGCUGAGCCUGUGUUAGGCCAUUCCACAGUUUAUCAGACCAGCUGCUUCUGGAGGGUGGGGUAUGGUGAUAACACCAGUGAAUCCAAGGGCAUGCAUGAGCCCACUGCUGCAUUUCUUUUGCUGUAAAAUGAAUUCCUUGGUAGGAAGCAAUAUUGUAGUGUUAUAAUGGGUCUGGGGUCAAACGGAGAAUAACAGCACAGAGGUCCUCUUUUCAGUCUUGGCUACACUGUCCCAUGAGCCCUGAGACAGCACUGCUUGUGUCAAGCUUGGGUGGGGGGAAUGCUGUAUGACUCUUCUUUCCGGUAGCACCUGAACUCCAGCCACAAAGGCCUAUUACACUUGGACAUAAGCAGCCUUACAUAAGCCAUGAGUCACAGUGCUCAUGUUGGUACCUGUUUAUGUGAGUUCUUCAGGCAGCAUUUCUAUUCUUCUCUUCACCACAGAUACUGAGAGGAACAGCAAAAAGAUGCAGAGAAGUCAAUGGCUUGAAUUUGCUCUUUUUUCUCUCCUGCUGUCCCUUUCUGAGGCCACUGCUGUGGGCAUGUUGGGGACAGCACAGACUCAGGAGCCCUUCCCCAUCACACUUCCAAGUGGAUUCUUAAUUUCAAUCCCUUCCUCCAUUCUGGGUUUACUCAUAGAUUACCCCAAACUCCAGGUCUUAACAAUACUAUUUUAAAUAUUCCCUUAUGAGCUGAUCAUAUCUUUUGAAUAUGGCAGAAUUAAUACUAAAAGACAGAUCCACAAGGAAAAGGACGAUGAAGUGUGUCUGAAAGCCUAAAAAAGAAUGACUCUUUUUUUUUUCUUCCCCAGGGAUUUAAGGAUAAUAGCAUAUAUGUGGAACAGAGCACCCAGGCCAAAUCGUUGGUUAGGAAUGUCAUCUUCUUGAUCCUUCUGUUUUGGCGUCUUGUUAUCCACCUUGAAUUUCAGUACCACAGCUCUAAAACAGUUUAUAAAAAUUUUGCCUCCAAGGCGCUAGUUCACAUACAAUUCAACAUGGUUGAAACCAAACUCAUUUUCCUCCCUGUUUCUGUCAUGAGUUUUCUUUCUUAUUUGUGGCACUGAGGCUUAAAACAUUGGGGAAAUGCUAAUACUUUUCUCUCCCUUUGCUUCUUCUUGUCCUUCACAGGCAUGGGGCAAUUAAUUAUUCUUUGCGUCUUUUGUACACAUCACUCCAAUUCCAGCUCCCACAGCCACCACCACAUUCUAGUCUUCCAACAGUUUCCUAUCAGGCCUCCAUGCCUUCACUCCUGCCCUUUGCCUAAUAUUUCUAAUACACAGCACAUUUAUCCAUCUCAAAGGUUAUAUUUUACAUGUCAUCUUGAUGACUUUGUUUAUACUGAAUUCCUUCUGCCUGAAUCAUUGCCCUCUUUCUUGUACUUGUCUAAACUGCACUUUUCUUUCAAGUCCUGCUUCCUUCAUGAAGUCUUUCUUGGUUGCCCUAAGCUUCGGUGACCAAUUAUCCCCGUCUGAAUUUCUGGAGCAUUUAUUGUCUGUAUCAUUCAUUUAGCACCAAAAAAUACCACCUUGCCUCUCUGUGCGUGAAGGCUGGCUUCCUUUCUAGCAGUACCUGGUAAUGGUUGUGCAUGAGAGUUAUUGAGGGUGUUUUUAAAAUUUGCUUUAAUACUCAAGAUAGAGAUUCAAGAGACAUCCCAACCUAUAUAAAAAACAAACAAGCAGCUAACAUUGUUACAAAUUCCUGAGGUUGAGUUGGGGUUUUUAUGUUAAUGAAAAUUUUUUUGAGCAACUACUCUAUGGUAGGCAUUGUACUAGAUGCUGGAGACAGAACAAGGAACAGGACAUUAGUCAAUUCUGCUUUUAAGAAGCACACAUUCAGGGGGCUGGCCCCGUGGCCGAGUGGUUAAGUUCGCGCGCUCCGCUGCAGGCGGCCCAGUGUUUCGUUGGUUCGAAUCCUGGGCGCGGACAUGGCACUGCUCGUCAGACCACGCUGAGGCGGCGUCCCACAUGCCACAACUAGAAGGACCCACAACGAAGAAUACACAACUAUGUACCGGGGGGCUUUGGGGAGAAAAAGGAA